rnacentral:rRNA from 1 species
AUUGAACGCUGGCGGCAUGCUUUACACAUGCAAGUCGAACGGUAACAGGCCGCAAGGUGCUGACGAGUGGCGAACGGGUGAGUAAUACAUCGGAACGUGCCCGAGAGUGGGGGAUAACGAGGCGAAAGCUUUGCUAAUACCGCAUACGAUCUCAGGAUGAAAGCAGGGGACCGCAAGGCCUUGCGCUCACGGAGCGGCCGAUGGCAGAUUAGGUAGUCGGUGGGAUAAAAGCUUACCAAGCCGACGAUCUGUAGCUGGUCUGAGAGGACGAUCAGCCACACUGGGACUGUGACACGGCCCAGACUCCUACGGGAGGCAGCAGUGGGGAAUUUUGGACAAUGGGCGCAAGCCUGAUCCAGCCAUGCCGCGUGCAGGAUGAAGGCCUUCGGGUUGUAAACUGCUUUUGUACGGAACGAAAAGACUCUGGUUAAUACCUGGGGUCCAUGACGGUACCGUAAGAAUAAGCACCGGCUAACUACGUGCCAGCAGCCGCCGUAAAAC